UGUAAAGACAAACUAAGCAUGUAGUACCGAGGAUGUAGAAAUUUCGGACGCGGGUUCAACUCCCGCCAGCUCCACCA
rnacentral:tmRNA from 2 species